rnacentral:ncRNA from 2 species
GAUAAUUAAAUAUUUAUUACCCAUAUAAUCUCGAUAAUAAGGUUCGAGAGUUUCUACUAGAAGACCGUAAAUUUUCAGGCUAUGGGUAAGUCCAGAUUUUUA